rnacentral:rRNA from 1 species
CAAGCUUUUAAGAGCAGAUGGCGGAUGCCUUGCCAAAGAGAGGCGAUGAAGGACGUACUAGACUGCGAUAAGCUAUGCGGAGCUGUCAAGGAGCUUUGAUGCGUAGAUGUCCGAAUGGGGCAACCCAACUAAUAGAGAUAUUAGUUACUCUAAUAUAGAGAGCGAACCUAGUGAAGUGAAACAUCUCAGUAACUAGAGGAAAAGAAAUCAACGAGAUUCCCUAAGUAGUGGCGAGCGAACGGGGAAAAGGGCAAACCGAGUGCUUGCAUUCGGGGUUGAGGACUGCAACAUCCAAGAAAACGCUUUAGCAGAGUUACCUGGAAAGGUAAGCCAUAGAAAGUGAUAGCCCUGUAUGCGGCAAGGCGUUUUUAGGUAGCAGUAUCCGGAGUAGACCAGGACACGAGGAAUCCAGGUUGAAGCCGGGGAGACCACUCUCCAACCCUAAAUACUACUCUUUGAGCGAUAGCGAACAAGUACCGUGAGGGAAAGGUGAAAAGAACCGCAGUGAGCGGAGUGAAAUAGAACCUGAAACCAUCUGCUUACAAUCAUUCAGAGCCCUAUGAUUUAUCAGGGUGAUGGACUGCCUUUUGCAUAAUGAUCCUGCGAGUUGUGGUAUCUGGCAAGGUUAAGCGAAUGCGAAGCCGUAGCGAAAGCGAGUCUUAAUAGGGCGAACAAGUCAGAUGCUGCAGACCCGAAGCUAAGUGAUCUAUCCAUGGCCAAGUUGAAACGCGUGUAAUAGCGCGUGGAGGACUGAACUCGUACCCAUUGAAACGGGUUGGGAUGAGCUGUGGAUAGGGGUGAAAGGCCAAACAAACUUAGUGAUAGCUGGUUCUCUUCGAAAUAUAUUUAGGUAUAGCCUCAAGUGAUAAUAAAAGGGGGUAGAGCGCUGAUUGGGCUAGGGCUGCUCGCCGCGGUACCAAACCCUAUCAAACUUCGAAUACCUUUUAUCGUAUCUUGGGAGUCAGGCGGUGGGUGAUAAAAUCAAUCGUCAAAAGGGGAACAACCCAGACUACCAAAUAAGGUCCCUAAGUUCUAUUCUGAGUGGAAAAAGAUGUGUGGCUACUCAAACAACCAGGAGGUUGGCUUAGAAGCAGCCAUCCUUUAAAGAAAGCGUAACAGCUCACUGGUCUAGUGGUCAUGCGCUGAAAAUAUAACGGGGCUAAGAUAGACACCGAAUUUGUAGAUUGUGUUAAACACAGUGGUAGAAGAGCGUUCAUACCAGCGUUGAAGGUAUACCGGUAAGGAGUGCUGGAGCGGUAUGAAGUGAGCAUGCAGGAAUGAGUAACGAUAAGAUAUAUGAGAAUUGUAUCCGCCGUAAAUCUAAGGUUUCCUACGCGAUGGUCGUCAUCGUAGGGUUAGUCGGGUCCUAAGCCGAGUCCGAAAGGGGUAGGUGAUGGCAAAUUGGUUAAUAUUCCAAUACCGACUAUGGAGCGUGAUGGGGGGACGCAUAGGGUUAAGCGAGCUAGCUGAUGGAAGUGCUAGUCUAAGGGCGUAGAUUGGAGGGAAGGCAAAUCCACCUCUGUAUUUGAAACCCAAACAGGCUCUUUGAGUCCUUUUAGGACAAAGGGAGAAUCGCUGAUACCGUCGUGCCAAGAAAAGCCUCUAAGCAUAUCCAUAGUCGUCCGUACCGCAAACCGACACAGGUAGAUGAGAUGAGUAUUCUAAGGCGCGUGAAAGAACUCUGGUUAAGGAACUCUGCAAACUAGCACCGUAAGUUCGCGAUAAGGUGUGCCACAGCGAUGUGGUCUCAGCAAAGAGUCCCUCCCGACUGUUUACCAAAAACACAGCACUUUGCCAACUCGUAAGAGGAAGUAUAAGGUGUGACGCCUGCCCGGUGCUCGAAGGUUAAGAGGAUGCGUCAGUCGCAAGAUGAAGCGUUGAAUUGAAGCCCGAGUAAACGGCGGCCGUAACUAUAACGGUCCUAAGGUAGCGAAAUUCCUUGUCGGUUAAAUACCGACCUGCAUGAAUGGCGUAACGAGAUGGGAGCUGUCUCAACCAGAGAUUCAGUGAAAUUGUAGUGGAGGUGAAAAUUCCUCCUACCCGCGGCAAGACGGAGAGACCCCGUGGACCUUUACUACAACUUAGCACUGCUAAUGGGAAUAUCAUGCGCAGGAUAGGUGGGAGGCUUUGAAGUAAGGGCUUUGGCUCUUAUGGAGCCAUCCUUGAGAUACCACCCUUGAUGUUUCUGUUAGCUAACUGGCCUGUGUUAUCCACAGGCAGGACAAUGCUUGGUGGGUAGUUUGACUGGGGCGGUCGCCUCCUAAAAAGUAACGGAGGCUUGCAAAGGUUGGCUCAUUGCGGUUGGAAAUCGCAAGUUGAGUGUAAUGGCACAAGCCAGCCUGACUGUAAGACAUACAAGUCAAGCAGAGACGAAAGUCGGUCAUAGUGAUCCGGUGGUUCUGUGUGGAAGGGCCAUCGCUCAAAGGAUAAAAGGUACCCCGGGGAUAACAGGCUGAUCUCCCCCAAGAGCUCACAUCGACGGGGAGGUUUGGCACCUCGAUGUCGGCUCAUCGCAUCCUGGGGCUGGAGCAGGUCCCAAGGGUAUGGCUGUUCGCCAUUUAAAGCGGUACGCGAGCUGGGUUCAGAACGUCGUGAGACAGUUCGGUCCCUAUCUGCCGUGGGCGUAGGAAAGUUGAGGAGAGCUGUCCCUAGUACGAGAGGACCGGGAUGGACGUGUCACUGGUGCACCAGUUGUUCUGCCAAGAGCAUCGCUGGGUAGCUACACACGGAUGUGAUAACUGCUGAAAGCAUCUAAGCAGGAAGCCAACUCCAAGAUAAACUUUCCCUGAAGCUCGCACAAAGACUAUGUGCUUGAUAGGGUAGAUGUGUGAGUGCAGUAAUGCAUUUAGCUGACUACUACUAAUAGAGCGUUUGGCUUGUUUU